UCCGAGUUGACCCCGGCAGUCUCCUAUGAGUCCCCGGCCGAACCGCUGGCAACAUAGAACGAGGGUUGCGCUCGUUGCGGGACUUAACCCAACAUCUCACGACACGAGCUGACGACAACCAUGCACCACCUGUACAGGACCCUUACGGACCCCCCAUCUCUGGAGGAUUUCCCUGUAUGUCAAGGCCUGGUAAGGUUCUUCGCGUUGCUUCGAAUUAAACAACAUGCUCCGCUGCUUGUGCGGGCCCCCGUCAAUUCCUUUGAGUUUUAGCCUUGCGGCCGUACUCCCCAGGCGGGGUGCUUAAUGCGUUAGCUGCGGCACGGGAGGAGUCGACACCUCCCACACCUAGCACCCAUCGUUUACGGCGUGGACUAC
rnacentral:misc_RNA from 1 species